CAGUAGCCGCGGUAAUACGAAGGGGGCUAGCGUUGUUCGGAAUUACUGGGCGUAAAGCGCACGUAGGCGGAUUGUUAAGUCGGGGGUGAAAUCCUGAGGCUCAACCUCAGAACUGCCUUCGAUACUGGCGAUCUUGAGUUCGGAAGAGGUUGGUGGAACAGCUAGUGUAGAGGUGAAAUUCGUAGAUAUUAGCUAGAACACCAGUGGCGAAGGCGGCCAACUGGUCCGACACUGACGCUGAGGUGCGAAAGCGUGGGGAGCAAACAGGAUUAGAGACCCCCGUAGUCCCUGUCUCUUAUAA
rnacentral:rRNA from 1 species